CGUAACACGUGGGCAACCUUCCGAAAUAUGGGGGAUAGCCGGCCUAACGGCCGAGUAAUACCGCAUACGCUCUCGAUGAGGCAUUUCAUUGAGAGGAAACCUACGGGGUAUUUCGAGGGGCUCGCGGCCUAUCAGCUAGUUGGCGAGGUAACGGCUCACCAAGGCAACGACGGGUAGCUGGUCUGAGAGGAUGGCCAGCCACAUUGGGACUGAGAUACGGCCCAG
rnacentral:rRNA from 1 species